GAACACAGCUGUUUGCAAGUGCAUGGGGAAAGCUGUGCUGGGCUGAAAUGCAAAAUGAGGCCAAUGUGUCCCCACGGUCGCUUCUUCAGGAUACUUCUUUGUCCCACAUGGAGACAGAAGCUCCUGCUUAAGUAACCCUGGGGACUUGGAUCAGACAUCAUUAAAAGCAGUGGGGCAGCCAGCCCAUGGGGAGGAGUGGCAAAUGCGGUGCGAAUGAUCAUGUCCUGCAUGGGACAGACCAGGCAGGGCACACCUGUAUCACGUAUGCAGGGCAGGGAAGCUGCAGAUUGAUGGAGGGAAGAAACAGCAAAAGAGCUCCAAGAACGUUGUGUAAAAACCUGAAGAUGUUGGCCUCACACAGAAGUAUGUACAGGCAAAGACAAACAGCAGCAUCACGUUUCAUACAUCACCAGGUAUCCCACUCUAGGAGUAUUC
rnacentral:lncRNA from 1 species